UCGAGCGGAUGACGGGAGCUUGCUCCUUGAUUCGGCGGCGGACGGGUGAGUAUGGCCUAGGAAUCUGCCUGGUAGUGGGGGACAACGUUUCGAAAGGAACGCUAAUACCGCAUACGUCCUACGGGAGAAAGCAGGGGACCUUCGGGCCUUGCGCUAUCAGAUGAGCCUAGGUCGGAUUAGCUAGUUGGUGGGGUAAUGGCUCACCAAGGCGACGAUCCGUAACUGGUCUGAGAGGAUGAUCAGUCACACUGGAACUGAGACACGGUCCAGACUCCUACGGGAGGCAGCAGUGGGGAAUAUUGGACAAUGGGCGAAAGCCUGAUCCAGCCAUGCCGCGUGUGUGAAGAAGGUCUUCGGAUUGUAAAGCACUUUAAGUUGGGAGGAAGGGCAGUAAGCUAAUACCUUGCUGUUUUGACGUUACCGACAGAAUAAGCACCGGCUAACUCUGUGCCAGCAGCCGCGGUAAUACAGAGGGUGCAAGCGUUAAUCGGAAUUACUGGGCGUAAAGCGCGCGUAGGUGGUUUGUUAAGUUGGAUGUGAAAGCCCCGGGCUCAACCUGGGAACUGCAUCCAAAACUGGCAAGCUAGAGUACGGUAGAGGGUGGUGGAAUUUCCUGUGUAGCGGUGAAAUGCGUAGAUAUAGGAAGGAACACCAGUGGGCGAAGGCGACCACCUGGACUGAUACUGACACUGA
rnacentral:rRNA from 1 species